GCCUAGUUAGCUUAGUUGGUAGUGCGUCUGCCUUGUAAGCGCUAGGCUGCGGGUUCUAUUCUCGCCCGGGGCG
rnacentral:tRNA from 1 species